rnacentral:rRNA from 1 species
GCUUUUGUGCUAAGGUAGCAUAAUAAUUUGUCUUUUAUUUAAAGACUAUAACAAAAGGUUUAACAUCUCAACUAAUAUUUUAUAAAAAACUAUUAAAAUUAUUUUAAUUGUAAAAAAACAAUUUUAAAAAAGAAAGACGAUAAGACCCUAUCGAACUUUACUUUAGUUUAACUGGGGCAGUUAAUUAAUUAUUAUUUUAAUAUAAUUAAAUAUAUAAUUUGACCUAAUAUUAUUAAUAAAAUAAUUAAGUUACCGUAGGGAUAACAGCGUAAUAAAUUUUUUAAGAUCUUAUUUAAAAAAAAGAUUGCGACCUCGAUGUUGAUUUAAUAACCUAAUUUACGCAAUAGUUAGUUAAGGAAGUCUGUUCGACUUUUAAAAAAUUACAUGAUCUG